rnacentral:rRNA from 1 species
CCCUUAGAUGUUCUGGGCCGCACGCGCGCUACACUGAUCGGUGCAACAAGCAUCCGUCCUUGGCCGACAGGCCCGGGCAAUCUUUGAACGCCGGUCGUGAUGGGGAUAGACCUUUGCAAUUUUUGGUCUUCAACGAGGAAUUCCUAGUAAACGCAAGUCAUCAACUUGCAUUGAUUACGUCCCUGCCCUUUGUACACACCGCCCGUCGCACCUACCGAUUGAAUGGUCCGGUGAAACCUCCGGAUUGGCGCGUGCCCUCGGGCGCCGCUGAGAAGUUGGUUAAACCUUACCAUUUAGAGGAAGGUGAAGUCGUAACA